rnacentral:lncRNA from 10 species
CUUUUCUGUAUUGGUGUGCGGGGCUGCUACGUGCUCGGCUUAGAGAAUUAGAAGGGUCCGUCUCUUUUUGCCCACUGGAGUCUGGCACUUGGGGCACUGCCUCCCUGUUGGUGGUGGUGGUGAUGGAGCUGUAGGAGGGAGGCUAGCAGUGGGAGCUUCUCCUGCUGGGCUGGAAGACAAGCAGAAGGAAGAGGCACCACCGCAUGCUGGAGGCUGGAGCCACGGCGGCUUGCCUCGCUGCGGUUGGUGGUGACAUCGGAGACCGCAGCUACGGUAAUACAAAGCCGUGUCCUCGGCUCUGAGGCUGUUCGUUUGCAGAUACAAGCUAAAGCAAGCUCAGUACUACUGGUGAUUUGGAAAGUGCCUUCAUAUUGUUUUUGCCAGUUCUCACCUGAGAACCCUGCAGAUGCCCCAUGAGAGGCUGUGCCCUUUACAAGGAGUCUCCAGUGAUACAGCUGAUUUUCCUCCAUACUCUAAUCCCCUUCAUGGCUGCAGCAUCAACAGAUUGCUCUCUUGAAUCUGACCCCAGUUGUUUUAUUAAUUAUACCCCUUUUUGUGACACAGGAAGGCUAAGAUGAAGCUGUCUUGGAUGGAAAAGAAUUCGUUCUCCUCACAUGGAAUAAAGAUCUUGAAAAGUAUUUUUUCUAUGUAGGGUCUGUCCGGACAAAGUUCUGGGCAUAUUUAUCAGAGAACAGUUCUCCUGAUAUCAGAGCCAUGAGGGAAUCUGUUUGGAUUCUCAUCUUGAGAACCCAGAAGUUUCUGGAGGGAAAUUUCAUAAAAGUGUGGGGUGCGUGGCCCCCAGGAGUUCUUACCCUACCCUAUCCACACUUGUCUGCUAGGCAUUUAUGGAAUUAUCAUGUAACUGUUUCCACCAGCUUGUGCUUUCAAUGGAAGAAUCACCCAAUUUAUAAAUUUAGAAAAGAAACUUUAUUUCUGAUAAAUGGGUGAAGCUGCAGGAUGGCCAUCUUAACAGGCCGGAAAGCAAAGCCUCCCACAGAGACAGUGAGCAGGCACUUCAAGAGAGGGAAAGGUGAGAAAUGAGUUCAUGCAAAUGGAUUGGCCAAGUGCACAUACUCAGCGGGCUAUAGAAGGAGCUAUGAAUAUUCACAUGGUGGGCAGGCUGUCAUGCAUAAUAAGCAAACACAGAUGUUACAUGCAUUUCAUGUUUGCUUUGGGGCGAGGACUUAAGAACUAAACAAAUUACAGUUGGGCCGUGUACAUCAAAAGGGCUUUGUGCAGAGGCAGAAGGACACACAGUGCACAGCCUCCAUAAUUUGGCAAGGACAAGUCCAUGGUGAGUGGUCUCUUCUCAGGAGAAAGUUACUGAAAUCAGUCCUUCUCCAUUCAAAGCUCUUUUUAUGGCUGUGGAACGGGCACAGUUACCCAGUGUCUUGAGUUCCAUGAGCUGCAAAUAUUUUAAUAUUCUUAUCGUAGGACCAGUGCUUUUUAGCUGCUAGAGAAAAUGAAAAGCCCUGUGGCAGUUACAACAUAGUCUAUUUUUUAAGUGUAGGAGUGAGUGACUUAAUUUUUGCUUGAUGUGGACUUGGGUCUUGUUUAUAAUUUGGUAUCUUAUUGCCACAACAAGAUUGUUCCAUCAGUCUGAUGAUCUCUAUUUUAAUGUCUUUCUAGUUUUUGGGUCUUGGUUUUCCCUGCAAUUUGAUUUCUUAAAUAGAUCCAAGAAGUUAUUGAUAAUCAAUUUUCCAGGCUUUCAUUGUUGUAGGAAUGUAGGGGAUGACUGACAUGCUCUUUACAUAUUAAAGUGGAAAACAGAAGUAGCUUCAGAGAUCACCAUUGACCUGACAAGCAGCAGGAAUCUCAUCUCGUUAAGUGUAAGUGGCACCACAGAUGUAGCUGAACAUGCAGUGACACAGAAGACCCACACCACAGAACACAUGAAAAAUUUUAUGAUUCUGAGGUUUUCUCCAGGAAGCUGGAACUCAGGUGGUACUACAGAGAUGGACUCAGUUAUCUCUCAGGUGAUACUAUGUUUUGGAAGCUUAUUUCCACUCCUGCACUGGACUCAUUAGCUGCACCUCGACCAGCACACCUAAAACAGAAACUCUCAAUAAUUAAGCACAAAACUCACCAAUAAUAAAGCUGUCCCCAGAGAAGGUGCAGAGCAGGGAACUCUGCUUUUGGGAACAUGCUGGUGUGCAGGGAGUGUCAGGAGCGUGACCCAUUUCCUUCUGCUCCCCCUGCUGGCUUCACAGACAACUGCAUCCAGGAGCUUUAUGUUGCAAAGUAUAUAAAAUAUGUUAUAAUUGUAGAGAAAUGUAAUACACAGAUUAAGGAAUGAGGAACGUACAUGAAAUUAAACAUAAUAUUAUCACGGAUAAGACAACAAACAAAUAUUAAAAACCUGUGUGUGUACGUGUUUGAGAUAGUAUUCUUGUAAAUUAAAUCAUAAUUUGUUUAUAAAGUCCUUCAACUAUGUACAAAAUCUUUGCCUUUGAUUGCCACAAAGAUGAAGAAGGAUGUGGCACCAGGACUCCAGGGCCAUGCUAGUGAUUUCCCCUCCUAUCUCCUGAGGACACGGUGCUUCCAACUCUGAGGAUCAGGAUGCUGAAAUUGGCUGUGUGAGAAGAGAAAAUGGGAUUUUCUGUGGGAACAGACUAGUGUGAAUGUAACUUUCAAGCAAGAAACCAGCUUCUGCUCUCUGACAUAUAUCACCUGGUUUGUGCCAAGAGCAUUAACCCUGGGAGCUCCUCCCAAAAAAAUGGUUGUGCACAGGGGAGAUGUUAAGCUAUGGCUGCUCCUGGGACUCAUCGGAGAUUCCUGAUGGGCAUCUGUAAUCAGGAAGUCAUCAACAGCCUUGCCGGACUUAACUUGCUCCACAGGUUAACUAGGAAGCACCACCAAACUCCCACAUUUCCCCAUCACUAGUUGUAAGACUGGCAUCCUGGCCUGACAGUGUCUACAGCCUCACCCAGCCUCCUGUGUGUUUUUCUGCCUGCCUUACUUACAUCUCACUUUGGGACAAAUAAGAAAUUUUUUAAAUAAACUUUUCUAAUCUAGAGACCUCAGUGGUAGGCACAGAAACACAAAUAUAGAGAGGCUCCCAGGGAAACUGUUCGAUGGAGAGGAAGCCACAGACCCUGAAGGAAAGCGGCCCUUGACCUUCAACUGCACCUGCCCUGGGGAUGCCCCUAACUUCUGUGGGAGUGAGUGCCCUCUGCAGCCCAGGCUCCUUCCUUCUCUCUGCAGGAUAUUUUGCGUUUUGGCUGACACUGGUGUUCCCUCACUUGGUACCUUAUGUACAAUAAUACGAGGCCAUGUUCUCAGCUCUGACUGUUCAUUCACAGGUACAGUGAGUUCUUGGCAUUGUCUUUGGAAA